CCUACGGGAGGCAGCAGUGAGGAAUAUUGGUCAAUGGGCUUACGCCUGAACCAGCCAAGUCGCGUGAGGGAAGACUGUGCCAAGGGUUGUAAACUUCUUUUGUCAGGGAGCAAUUGGCGCUUCGAGUAGCGUUACCGAGAGUAUAUGAAGAAAAAGCUUCGGUUAACCCCGUGCCAGCAGCCGGGGUAAUACGGAGGAUGAGAGCGUUAUCCGGAUUUUUUGGGUUUAAAGGGUGCGUAGGCGGAAUGUCAAGUCAGCGGUAAAAGCGCGGGGCCCAACCUCGCUCCGCCGUUGAAACUGGCGUUCUUGAGUGGGCGAGAGGUAUGCGGAAUGCGUGGUGUAGCGGUGAAAUGCAUAGAUAUCACGCAGAACUCCGAUUGCGAAGGCAGCAUACCGGCGCCCAACUGACGCUGAAGCACGAAAGCGUGGGUAUCGAACAGGAUUAGAUACCCGAGUAGUC
rnacentral:rRNA from 1 species